CCUUCUCCGCCUCCGGCGAAGCCUAAGCAGCAGCCUCGUCGCAAAUCUCCACCGUUCUCUAUCGUCCACCUCCGCACUCUCCUCUGUCCCACGCUCCUCUUCCCCUUCCCCUUCCUCCUCCUCCUCCCCCGCCGUUGUUCAAUCUCUCCAAUUCCGAUUCCAAUCUCGAUCAUUCAGGUCGUCCUCCUUCUCUUCUGCACGGCCGCCUUACG
rnacentral:lncRNA from 1 species